AUUUAAUUCAACAUACAAUAUCCCAUAUUUUUGGAUUAUUAUAAAAGUUUAUGCCUUAUUCAUGCAAUAUAUUUAAUAAAUGACGUAAUUAAGCUGUAUAACUGACGUAUAAACCUACUCUUGGAUUCUCGCUCAGAAGCUUGAAAUUUAAGAACAAGUGGGUAUUCAACAACUACUUUUUAAAAUAGAAGAUAAAAUUUCUUUAGAAUUAUAAUAAUAUUGAUAGAGACAACAGCUAGUGGCCCAAAGAAUUUAUAGGAUUGAUGUUAUCCUAAUAAUGUUUAGGUCCAAAAAGAAAAGUUGCACAAUACAAAGAGAACAUAUAUACAGACG
rnacentral:misc_RNA from 1 species